rnacentral:sRNA from 1 species
UGUCCGGUAGGUAAGGCUACCAUAGGGAUACGGAUUGCUACCGCAAAAUGGUGGAGACACUAUGAGAUGGUUAAAAGGUUUUGUCGAAAACAAGGCUUGACCUAACGCAAUUACACCGCCCUGUGAUGCUAAAGCCCGUAUGGU